GCUUACGGCCAUACCAGCCUGAAUACGCCCGAUCUCGUCCGAUCUCGGAAGCUAAGCAGGGUCGGGCCUGGUUAGUACUUGGAUGGGAGACCGCCUGGGAAUACCAGGUGCUGUAAGUU
rnacentral:rRNA from 1 species